UACGUAGGGCGCAAGCGUUAUCCGGAAUUAUUGGGCGUAAAGAGCUCGUAGGCGGUUUGUCGCGUCUGCCGUGAAAGUCCGGGGCUCAACUCCGGAUCUGCGGUGGGUACGGGCAGACUAGAGUGAUGUAGGGGAGACUGGAAUUCCUGGUGUAGCGGUGAAAUGCGCAGAUAUCAGGAGGAACACCGGUGGCGAAGGCGGUUCUCUGGGCAUGACCUGACGCUGAGGAGCGAAAGUGUGGGGAGCAAACAGG
rnacentral:rRNA from 1 species